rnacentral:rRNA from 1 species
GAUGAACGCUAGCGAUAGGCUUAACACAUGCAAGUCGAGGGGCAGCAUGGUCUUAGCUUGCUAUGACUGAUGGCGACCGGCGCACGGGUGCGUAACGCGUAUGCAACUUGCCUCACAGAGGGGGAUAACCCGUCGAAAGACGGACUAAUACCGCGUACACUCUAUUUUGGGCAUCCAAGGUAGAGGAAAUGAAAUUCGCUGUGAGAUAGGCAUGCGUCCCAUUAGCUAGUUGGUGAGGUAACGGCUCACCAAGGCGACGAUGGGUAGGGGAACUGAGAGGUUGAACCCCCACACUGGUACUGAGACACGGACCAGACUCCUACGGGAGGAAGCAGUGAGGAAUAUUGAUCAAUGGGCGAGGGCCUGAACCAGCCAAGUCGCGUGAAGGAUGACUGUCUUAUGGAUUGUAAACUUCUUUUGUAGGGGAAUAAAGAGGGGCACGUGUGCCCCAGUGAAUGUACCCUACGAAUAAGCAUCGGCUAACUCCGUG